CUUGAGGGAGCCCAGCCACAGCGGCUGGUCGCCGUCGCGCUCCUGCCCGUACGUGGCGAGCAGGGCCUGCGCCUC
rnacentral:antisense_RNA from 2 species